rnacentral:rRNA from 1 species
UACGGAGGGUGCGAGCGUUGUCCGGAAUCACUGGGCGUAAAGGGCGCGUAGGCGGCUUGUUGCGUCUGCUGUGAAAUCCCGGGGCUUAACCCUGGGCUUGCAGUGGAUACGGGCAGGCUAGAGGUAGGUAGGGGAGAAUGGAAUUCCCGGUGUAGCGGUGAAAUGCGCAGAUAUCGGGAGGAACACCGGUGGCGAAGGCGGUUCUCUGGGCCUUACCUGACGCUGAGGAGCGAAAGCGUGGGGAGCGAACAGG